GCAUUUUGCACUUUCCUAGAGUCUUGCGCAGUUAUUUUCAUCACAGUAACUUUUUAUCACAGUGAUUUUUCAUCACAGUUGUGUCGUUUCCAAGGGUUGUCAAGGUAUGUAAACUGUUUAUGUUUUGAUUUCUAUUUUUGGAAUGUCGGGCCAUGUUACGAAAAUUCUACUCAUCCUUUGUGUUUCAGGACCCAAUCUGAAGAGGAACGGAACAGAUUCAUUGGAAGUGCAAGACAGUUUUCUUUGGCGAUGGCGGGUUUUCCCAGCUGCGAUCUCCAGUCUUUGUUGCCGGAUGUAGCUUCUAAACUGCGGCCUUGAGGCUGUCUUCGACUUAGACUUCCGUGCCGGAUGUGGAUGGACGACCAGCUGUUGGAUUCGUUCCACGCAGAAAUCUUCCUUCUUUGUUGAAUCGGCAGCCCCAGCGUCUGAUCCGAGCGUGCUGAGAGGGCGGGCGUGCCCUCCUUGGCGUUGGAGGCGAGUGGCUUUUGGGCAUUCUUCCUUGGCGUUGACGGCGCGGUGAGGCGCCAGACGACAGAGGUGCUCUUAUAACGGUUGGAUGUAGGCAAAUGCCAUACAGGACUUACACUGUCCAGGCCGAUAAAACCGUAACGGCCGCGCUCGCGAAAUCUCCGGGUUCCAUCUUUUGUGCGGUCAUUGAUGACCAACACACCGAGGAUCACGUCUUAUCCAUUAUGACACCAGGUUGGAGAAGUCCCCUCACUACUGAUGUGAAGGGUUAAAUGUAGUUCGUCAUGGAUUAUGACCAACGGUUACAGGAAAAUAUGUAUUUAAA